CCGUGCUAGCCGGGGAGGUAGCGGCGCCCUGUACCUACAAUCCGCUAUAGUAGGGGUGAUGCCUGUUCUAGGGAUGUGUUUUUUAUGGCCUGCCUUUUUAAGUCGGUGUUGAGGGCUGAGUCCUGUGCAACAGAAACUUAUGAAUCGUGUCAGGGUCGGAAGGCAGCAGCACUAAGUAGGCACUUCUGUGUGCCGCAGGGGUGCUUGGUCUGAGUCGAUGAGAGAAGUAACGCAUAGGAAACCAUCACAAAAACAGGUGCACGG
rnacentral:SRP_RNA from 1 species